GAGGAAAGUCCGGGCUACACAGGGCAGAGUGCCGGAUAACGUCCGGGGGGCGAGAGCCUACGACAAGUGCAGCAGAGAGCAAACCGCCGAUGGCUCGCAAGAGAUCAGGUAAGGGUGAAAGGGUGCGGUAAGAGCGCACCGUGCCGCCGGUAACGGUUGGCAGCAGGGUAAACUCCACUCGUAGCAAGACCAAAUAGGAAUCCAAUGAAUGGCCCGUUCAGGAUUCGGGUAGGUUGCUUGAGCGUAUGUGUAAAUGUGCGCCUAGAUGAAUGAUUGCCCACGACAGAACCCGGCUUA
rnacentral:RNase_P_RNA from 1 species